rnacentral:rRNA from 1 species
GACGAACGCUGGCGGCGUGCUUAACACAUGCAAGUCGAACGGAAAGGCCCUGCUUUUGUGGGGUGCUCGAGUGGCGAACGGGUGAGUAACACCUGAGUAACCUGCCCUUGACUUUGGGAUAACUUCAGGAAACUGGGGCUAAUACCGGAUAGGAGCUCCUGCUGCAUGGUGGGGGUUGGAAAGUUUCGGCGGUUGGGGAUGGACUCGCGGCUUAUCAGCUUGUUGGUGGGGUAGUGGCUUACCAAGGCUUUGACGGGUAGCCGGCCUGAGAGGGUGACCGGCCACAUUGGGACUGAGAUACGGCCCAGACGCCUACAGGAGGCAGCAGGGGGGAAUAUUGCACAAUGGGCGGAAGCCUGAUGCAGCAACGCCGCGUGCGGGAAGACGGCCUUCGGGUUGUAAACCGCUUUCGCCUGUGACGAAGCGUGAGUGACGGUAAUGGGUAAAGAAGCACCGGCUAACUACGUG